rnacentral:rRNA from 1 species
CCUACGGGAGGCAGCAGUGGGGAAUAUUGCACAAUGGGCGAAAGCCUGAUGCAGCAACGCCGCGUGAGGGACGACGGCCUUCGGGUUGUAAACCUCUUUUAGUAGGGAAGAAGCGAAAGUGACGGUACCUGCAGAAAAAGCACCGGCUAACUACGUGCCAGCAGCCGCGGUAAUACGUAGGGUGCAAGCGUUAUCCGGAAUUAUUGGGCGUAAAGAGCUCGUAGGCGGUUUGUCACGUCUGCUGUGAAAACUGGAGGCUCAACCUCCAGCCUGCAGUGGGUACGGGCAGACUAGAGUGCGGUAGGGGAGAUUGGAAUUCCUGGUGUAGCGGUGGAAUGCGCAGAUAUCAGGAGGAACACCGAUGGCGAAGGCAGAUCUCUGGGCCGUAACUGACGCUGAGGAGCGAAAGCAUGGGGAGCGAACAGGAUUAGAUACCCUGGUAGUCCAUGCCGUAAACGUUGGGAACUAGAUGUAGGGGCCAUUCCACGGCUUCUGUGUCGCAGCUAACGCAUUAAGUUCCCCGCCUGGGGAGUACGGCCGCAAGGGCUAAAACCGUUAAGAUUAGUACGCGUGAGACGUGCGAACGAGACACCGAGGGAGGUAGG